GAGCCUCAUGUAGGACGGGGACAGUGUCCAACCUUGGACCGUGUCCAGCUCCACCCGUUGCGGAAAUCUCCUGUAGUGAAGGGAGACUGUCCUCUAAUGAAGCCGUUACGUCCUUCGCCCCUGGUGUCCCGUCUCCCCGUCAGCCUACCGGCUCCUCGGCCAACAGCGGUGGCAUCUGUGUUUAUUGAGCACUUACUAUGUGCAGAGCACUGUACUAAGCAGUGCUGACCACAGCGGUUGUCUCUGAGGAAAGAGCAUCCGACCAGCAGAAGGGCAGCCAGGCCGCAGUGCAGGUGCGGAGCUCCUCGGGCCUGGACUUCUAACGCUUCCCAGAAGGUUGACGUUCUUCCCUCCCGCCACCCGCUAGCUGACCUGGAAGGUCCUUCCGCUAGUGGAAAGAGCCCGGGCUUGGGAGUCGUAGGU